CACAUCCCACCAAAUCCAGGCCACCAGCUUCCUUGUUCACAUGUGGAGACUAAGAAGCUCCAGAGACAAGAAGGGACUUUGCCCAGGGUAACCCAACAACCAGCCAAGCAGACAUCGAAUCUGUCUUUUGACCUGAAACAAAUCUCAGUGAAAGUCUGAGCUGAGAACGCUGAGAUCCCCUAUGCACCAGCGGAGUUGGCUGGCAUGCGCACAGGGGAGGUGGGAAAGAUGCAGCCUGCUGAAGACCCAGAGGAAAUGAUGCCGCUCACGUGGGGAUCCCAGACUGUGCACCAAGCUGUGGGCUGGUGGCUCUGGCAGAGUGCCGGUCCAGCCCCCUGCCCAUCAUGCUAUGAACUCGGCCAUCUCUGGGGACUCUACACUCUGGAGGCUGAGAGACCCAAGCGGUCAUGUUUCCUACGGCUGCCCCAGGUAGGCGACACGGCCCUUCCCUUGUUAGUUUCCGGCUCCGUUUGUGAGAGGGGAUGUGCCUCCUUCAGGACGCAAGCGGACCAAGUAGCAAGCAUGCUAUGAUAUGUGGAGAUGAAUGGGGAGCUGGCGGUUGAGGGAGCACAUUGGUUUGCUAUAGAGCAGAGCAAUACAGCCGCAGAACAAUACAGUGCAAGAAGGUUGCACCAGGAGGCUCGACCCAUUUGCUGUGUGACCCUGGGCAACUCACUCAGCAUCUCUGGGCCUCAGUUGCUACAUCCACAAGAUGAAAUAUUAUAUGUCAUCUCUGGCGUUCUGUCCAGCAUGCAGUUCUACUAUGGAUAAGUCUGUGUACUUCAUAAAUUGUUUUUGUCUCUCCAGACCCGUGAGACUGCCGAAAACUCUGCCUGGCCUGUGUCAGCACGUGCCUUCUGCUCAGUCUCUUUAUCCAGCUACUUUGAAACUGGCAAAUUCACGGGGAAGCACAUUGACUUCAGGCUCUCAUACUCUGGGAUUUCCAGCACUCAACUCCUGGCUUCCUGGAUAGCUCUUUGAAGCCUUCUAACAGAUUUUAAUUUUCUUUUCAACCACUUUAUCUAGGUCUUCUAGUUGUUUAUUGAGAGGGUUGAUCUCUCUCUACAAGUUAGUUUGCCACAGGCGGAAGCAGAAGUCCCUUCAUACGUUAGUACUGGGCCAGGAGGUUGCUGACUCCAGGAAGAAUCAGACCUUAUCCCUGACCUCCAGUUGCUCACAGUCCCGAGGAGAGGAAAGGAAAAUAAAAAGACGAACAUAACACAGUAUGAGAAAUGCAACAGGUCCAAG